UGCAAACUGCGAAUACCGGAGAAUGUUAUCACGGGAGACACACGGCGGGUGCUAACGUCCGUCGUGAAGAGGGAAACAACCCAGACCGCCAGCUAAGGUCCCAAAGUCAUGGUUAAGUGGGAAACGAUGUGGGAAGGCCCAGACAGCCAGGAUGUUGGCUUAGAAGCAGCCAUCAUUUAAAGAAAGCGUAAUAGCUCACUGGUCGAGUCGGCCUGCGCGGAAGAUGUAACGGGGCUAAACCAUGCACCGAAGCUGCGGCAGCGACACUAUGUGUUGUUGGGUA
rnacentral:rRNA from 1 species